rnacentral:rRNA from 1 species
UACGUAGGGCGCAAGCGUUGUCCGGAAUUAUUGGGCGUAAAGAGCUCGUAGGCGGUCUGUUGCGUCCGCUGUGAAAUCUCGGGGCUUAACCCCGAGCCUGCAGUGGAUACGGGCAGACUAGAGGUAGGUAGGGGAGAAUGGAAUUCCCGGUGUAGCGGUGAAAUUCGUAGAUAUUCGCAAGAACACCAGUGGCGAAGGCGGCUCACUGGCCCGGUACUGACGCUGAGGUGCGAAAGCGUGGGGAGCAAACAGG